ACGUAGGUGGCAAGCGUUGUCCGGAUUUAUUGGGUUUAAAGGGUGCGUAGGCGGCUUAUUAAGUCAGGGGUGAAAGACGGUGGCUCAACCAUCGCAGUGCCCUUGAUACUGAUGAGCUUGAAUACACUAGAGGUAGGCGGAAUGUGACAAGUAGCGGUGAAAUGCAUAGAUAUGUCACAGAACACCGAUUGCGAAGGCAGCUUACUAUGGUGCCAUUGACGCUGAGGCACGAAAGCGUGGGGAUCAAACAGGAUUAGAUACCCUGGUAGUCCACGCCCUAAACGAUGAAUACUCGCUGUUAGCGAUAUACAGUUAGCGGCUAAGCGAAAGCGUUAAGUAUUCCACCUGGGGAGUACGCCCGCAAGGGUG
rnacentral:rRNA from 1 species